CAUCAUCCACCGAGCCGGGGCAGUGGGUCGGUGCGCAGCUGUUUGCGAGCGGGCUCGCUGCUUCCCGAGCAAAGCUGGCGUAGGGCUCGGGGGCAUCGCGGGUCUCUCCCUUCCCAGCUGCAAACGUCGCACUGUCGAGGGCUGCGAUAGAAGGAGAAGAGGCGGAGACUGUUAGAGGAGCGAUGACAGCAGCAGCAAUUACAACAACGACAAAAUAAAAAGCCUGGUCCUUGUCUACUCUGUUACCCGUCUCAAAUCGCAGAACACCAGCUACCUAGUCAAGUGCUCAAGCCAGAAACUCACCGGUUUAAGUUGGAUACAAAUGGCAACUUGAACUUUCAGAGAGCAAGAUGGAGUCAGUCACAUCAGCAUGACAAGCAGCCAAGGGCAUAGUGGCUAAGACCGGAUAUUGCUGAAACCAGCACAGAUGCCCAUAUGAUGCCCAGAACUGAUAACCAGCAGAAACUGAAGAGGCCACCAAAGGCCCAAGACUGAUUAAACUCAUUUAAAAAGGGAAGGCUUUUGCAGCAAACCGUCAGACUCUCCAGAUACUGACCCUUUCACAUCUCACCACAUUGAAGAGACAACUGGUGGCAAAGGCUCUGCCUGAUUGAUCUCUGAACAUAAUAGAGAUCCUUCACUGCUAGGACAUAAUACACAGCACACACUGAGAGCUGACCCGCACUGGACCGAGGCUUCAUCUCAACUGUUUGCUCAGGGACUGACCUCAUGUUUGGUUUCUUAACUUCUCCCCCUUUGUUGUAGGACUUUGUGUUGUGCUUUGCUUUGUUUAAUGUGUAUGAAACCAAGUUAAAUGUGUAACAAAAUGUCAUUGAAUUGGGAAUCCUGAACCUGCUUUGUAAUUGUUAGC